rnacentral:rRNA from 1 species
GACGAACGCUGGCGGCGUGCCUAAUACAUGCAAGUCGAACGCAGUGGGGACGGGUGAGUAACACGUGGGUAACCUCCCAUCAGAGGGGAUAACACUUGGAAACAGGUGCUAAACCGCUACUGAUGGAUGGACCCGCGGGGCAUUAGCUAGUUGGGGGGGUAACGGCCCACCAGGGCCACGAUGCAUAGCCGACCUGGAAGGGUGACCGGCCACACUGGGACGGAGACACGGCCCAGACUCCUACGGGAGGCAGCAGUGGGUAAUCUUCGGCAAUGGACGAAAGUCUGACCGAGCAACGCCGCGUGAGUGAAGAAGGUUUUCGGAUCGUAAAACUCUGUUGUUGGAGAAGCGGUAGCUAACCAGAAAGCCACGGCUAACUACGUGCCAGCAGCCGCGGUAAUUC